rnacentral:rRNA from 1 species
AAAUUUUUAUAACUUGUUUAUAUUAUAAUUGUUAAAUUUAUUUUAGAAAAAUAAUUUUGUUAUUACUUAUUAAGUAAAUUUUAAUGAAAUAAAGAAUAAAUAAACUACAGAGAAAAGUACUGUAAAGGAAAGUUUACAUAUAAUAAAAAUUUAUAUAGUAAUAUUGAAUGUUUGUACCUUGUGUAUCAGGGAAAAUUUAUAUAAAUUAACGAUUAUAAUUGUCUCGAAAUAAAAACAGUUAACUUUUUAAAAAAUUUUUUGUAGAAAAUAAAUUUUUAAUAUAAAGUUAAAGAUGAAAUAUCAGUCGAGUUUUAUUAUAUCUAGUUUUUUAAAAAAUAAAUUAAAUUUAUUUUUUAUAUUUAACUAUAUAUAAAAAUAAAAUAUAGGAGGGAAUAGCUUCUUAUACUAUAAAUAAUAAAAAGUUAUUUAAAUUUAAAUUAUUUUAAUUAGUCUUAAAAGUAGACAUAUUUAUAAAGUGUUUUAACUAAUUUUUUAGUUGUAUAUUAUUUAUAAUAACUUUUUACAAGUAUUAAAAAAUUAAUUUUAACAAUAAAAAAUUUUGAUAUAAUAAUUUUAUUAGUAAAAUUUAAUAUUAAUUUUAAAAAAUAAAAUAUCUUUAUUAACUUAUAAAAAAAAAUAUUGUUAAUAUAAAGGAACUAGGCAAAUAAUUUUUUUGCCUGUUUAUCAAAAACAUGUCUAUUUGGAGAUAUAAAAAGUCUAACCUGCUCACUGAUAUUAUUUUUAAGAGCCGCGGUAUUCUGACUGUGCAAAGGUAGCAUAAUCGUUAGUUUUUUAAUUGAAAUCUUGUAUGAAUGGUUUGACGAAAAAAAGACUGUCUUUAUAAUUAUUAAUUGAAUUUAAUUUUUAAGUGAAAAGGCUUAAAUAAGUUAAAAAGACGAUAAGACCCUAUAAAGCUUAAUAUUAAUUUCUUAUUUAAUAAAAUUUUAUUUAAUAUAAAUGUUUGGUAAUAAUUUUUAUUUUAUUGGGGUGAUAAUGGUAAAAUGAUCAAUAACUGUUAAUUUUAUUUAAACAAAGAUAAAUGAUUAAAAACUUAUAAUUAAUAAAUGAUCCUAUUUAAAGAUUUAAAGUUUAAGUUACUUUAGGGAUAACAGCGUAAUUUUUUUUGAGAGUUCAUAUCGAGAAAAAAGUUUGCGACCUCCAUGUUGAAUUAAAAUAUCUAUAUAAUUGUAGCAGUUAUAUAAGAAGGUCUGUUCGACCUUUAAAUUUUUACAUGAUUUGAGUUCAAACCGGUGUAAGCCAGGUUGGUUUCUAUCUUUUAAUAUUAAAAAAAUUAUUUUAGUACGAAAGGAUUAAAUAAUUAAAAUUAUUUUAAUUUAUUGG